rnacentral:lncRNA from 1 species
AUUGGAUCCGGCUUAUUAUUUUUUUUGCAGACUGUUAGAGCAAUUUUAUAAAAUGGGAAGAAGUUUUAUUCAGUCCUAAAAUUCCUAUCAAUCAAUGGCAAAGCUGGAGCUUUUCUGCCUAGGGUAAUCCAUUUGUGUAUGAAAAGAUCUAUUAAAUUUCAAAACGGCAUAUAGAGGAGUAAAUAAAAGUUCUGUAUUUAUUUUUUAAAUAAAACCUUAUUUCCAACAUUCUAAAA